rnacentral:rRNA from 1 species
CACCUGAUACCAUCCCGAACUCAGAAGUGAAACGCAGUAACGCCGAUGGUAGUGUGGGGUUUCCCCAUGUGAGAGUAGGACACCAUCAGGU